GUGCCAGCAGCCGCGGUAAGACAGAGGGUGCAAACGUUGCUCGGAAUUACUGGGCGUAAAGCGCGUGUAGGCUGACUGAUAAGUCAGGUGUGAAAUCCCUGGGCUCAACCCAGGAACUGCACUUGAAACUGCCAGUCUUGAGUGGUGAAGAGGAAGGCGGAAUUCCUGGUGUAGAGGUGAAAUUCGUAGAUAUCAGGAGGAACACCGGUGGCGAAGGCGGCCUUCUGGGCACUAACUGACGCUGAGACGCGAAAGCGUGGGGAGCAAACAGGAUUAGAAACCCUAGUAGUCC
rnacentral:rRNA from 1 species